rnacentral:misc_RNA from 1 species
CCAGCAGCAACAGGAAAGAAGAGACUGUAUUUAGCGAGACAAGACCCACAAGAGUAACCUGGCCUUGAAUAGACUUUAACCUUCCGGUAGUGACUAUGUUAGCAUUCACGUCUUUGCAGAAUAAGAUUUCUUUUCAUGUAAAACGUUGAUAAGCAAUAAAAAAAAUCAC